UGCCAGGACAUUCUGCGGAGGAUGUCAAAAAUGCAAUUGGGAUCCUCA
rfam:Influenza A virus (A/chicken/NJ/608/02(H7N2)) nonstructural protein 1 and nonstructural protein 2 genes, complete cds.